UUAAAAGUUUUUAUAGAGUCAUCUAAUUACAUCUAUUUUUUGAAUCACUAUUCACGUGAUCAAUAUUAAAAAUAAUUAUUUUUACUAAUGCGACAUUACAUAAUUAAAUACACGUAUAAAAUCGUUUUACAUUAACAAUAUAUUAAAACUAAAUCCAUAAAAAUUUUAAUAUUUUGAUUUAAAAGUAAUUAAAUUUUUAUAUUUUUUAACUUUAGAAAAGUUUAAUAAUCCCCAGGUGACCUACCUAUUUGCUUUUAGUCUUGCUUGAUUGGCCCAUUUCAAAAGUUAAAGGCGCUAUCCAUCCACGUGGCAUGUGGCAUUAACAUGAACCAAAAAACUUGUGGUUUGUGAACUUGUGUUGCACCCUUUUUCCCUCUCCCACAAUGUUCUUUUAGCGGGUAAUGUGGUCUUGCAUCACAAUGUGCACUAUGUUGUUUGGCUUUGAUCUAAUUUGGUUUAUUUGUAUCUGACUCUUCUUCAACGAACACUAGGAUGUACUAUAUUUUGCUUCUUUCUUCGAAUUCCAAAGGGUUUGAUUUGUUUUUUUUAACUGAAUUUCAUUCUGAGUGAACAAUGUCAUCCGCUUACAUGUGACUCCGUUUGGGAAACUCCGAAAGUUACUUCUUUUAACUUUUGAUUUAUAAAAAAUUAUAUUAAUAGUGUUUGGUACAAUUUUUUAGAUAAACUUUUAAUUUUUUAAAAAGUUAUUUAAGAACUUUUGAAGAAAUUAAAAAAUAUGACAUGCACAACUUUAAAACAAAGACUUCUAUAAUAACUUUUUAAAUACAAAAUAACUUAUUUAAAAGUUGUUAUUAGUAAAAAUCCUUAUAUUUUAAGCUCCUUUUUCAAAAGAACUUAUUUAAAAAAUUUAGCCAAACUGACCCUUAAGGGACUUGUUAUUUAUUAGGGCAAAUUGUACAAACAAAUAAAGUAAAGUUUAAAAUUAUCUAAUUACAACAUUUACAUAAUAAUUAUAUUUUGAUACUGAACUUAUUUUAUAUAAUUUAUUAUAAGAUAGGAUGUAGAAAUUUUAAAAUUUAUACAUAAACUGUUAUAGAAUAUCGCGAUUUAAACUUAAAUUGAAUUAUGAAUAAACCAUUAAAAACUGAAAAAGAUUUACAUGAAAAAAAAAAGAAAAAACAGAAAACGUUGAAAGGUGUCACAGUUUAUUCACAUUCAUUGUUUCAUUCUAUGAAGCAUUGGAAAUUGUUCUUGCCUGGUUAUUCCGAGGUAUAGCUCGUCCUCUGAUAAGGUCGGCGGACUCCUAGAGUGAACCAAGAUAUAUGUCGGCGGCGGAUGAACAGCGAGGGUGAGUACCUGCAAAGGCACUCCGACGCUCAAGUUAGUGUCAAGUGGAUAAUAGAUCUUAAUUUGGAAAAGUGACGUACCUUUCUCGGCUUUUCCUGUCUGCUUUAUAUUAGUGUAAAUGGUCGGCCGUUUUCCUUAGGUUGUAACGCCCAGGAAGAGGAUUAAUUGUAAAUCCGACGUUAUUGAUUAAUGGUUGUUUAUGGCCAUUAUGAAAUCAUCGGUUAUGAUCGGAUCUUAGGCGUUACCGAGCUAUAACUUGUGACCGAUGCUUACUGGUCAUAUCAGAAACUAAACUAUAGACAUAGAUCAUACUUAUUUCCAACACCAUAACACUACAUAGUAAUCCUCCUAAUAAUAACCCCAUCUUCCUCCUAUAUAUAGAAAAUAAUGAAAUUGAAAAUUCUACAGCAAUAACAACAACAACAUUCAUUAAUUCAUAUUAAUUAUGCAUCUUAUCUAAAUAUGCACAUGCAACUGCUACAAUGCUAAAAGGCACAUCAAAACCUUAUGUUUAGAUAAUGUGAGAUAAAGGGGGUAACCUUCGAGUGAAUUGAAGUAUAAAAGUAUAAAACUCACCGGUCAAAAAAGACCAACUCAUCAAACAAAUAUCAAAUUUUUCACAUUUUAAAGGGUGAACUAAUAAUUGAUUCUACUGUUCUAAAAUGACAUAUAUACACUUUUAAUUUCAAAUCACAACUUCAACCUAUAUAAUGCUGUAAUGAACCAAGAAUGUCCAUGAAAAAAAAAAAAAGCUACUCAGAAGCCAAUUUUUGAUUUGGGGCAGUCUUAGAUGCAAGCAGAAAUAAGCAAAAAAUCAAACUUAAGUCAAAGAAGAGAACAUUAGAAUGUAGUCUUUUUACGCACCUUUUUGAAACCUUCACAACUACUUUUCGGAUCAACGAAAUUGCCUACCCCUCUCUUAGUAUAAUGCUUCUGAAUAGCAUUAUACCUUGCAGCUGUCGGUCUCACCCCAUUCAUAAUGGCCUUCUGGAAGAUGAUCUCUGCCUCCUCUAUCUCUGCAAACUUGAGAAGGCCUAUGAGCCUACACCAGAUGUUCGGAGAUAUAAAGCCCUUACUGGCUAGCAUUUCCAAAAAAGCAUCUCUGCUUUUUUCCAACCUGUCUUGAGAUGUAUAGACAUGAAACAUCAAUCCCAUAUUGUAGAAAGACCUCGUAAAUGAUUUAGGAAGAAGAUCGAAAACUUUCUCUGCUUCAUUCAAUUUUUUUAACCUAACAAAACUCUUUAAUGCAGCUUUGGACAGAGAAGGAGGUGAAGAUGGAGAGAUAGCUUUACAGGCCUCCCAUAUUCGCUUCACAUAAUUUCUGUUCCUCAAUUUUGUAUGACAUCACAAUAGUGAAGCGAAUAUGGAAGGCCUGUAAGGCUAUCUCUCCAUCUUCACCUCCUUCCCUGUCCAAAGCUGCAUUAAAGAGUUUUGUUAGGUUAAAAAAAUUGAAUGAACCAAAGGAGUUUUUUCUUUUUACACAACUUUUUGGAACCUUCACAGAAUGUAGUCUUUUUACACAACUUUUUGGAACCUUCACAACUACUUUUCGGAUCAACGAAAUUGCCUAUCUCCUCUCUUAGUAUAAUGCUUCUGAAUAGCAUUAUACCUUUCAGCUGUCGGUCUCACCCCAUUCAUAAUGGCCUUCUGGAAGAUGAUCUCCGCCUCCUCUAUCUCUUCAAACUUGAGAAGAAGGUCUAUGAGCCUACACCAGAUGUUCGGAGGUAUAAAGCUCUUACUGGCUACCAUUUCCAAAAAAGCAUCUCUGCUUUUUUCCAACCUGUCUUGAGAUGUAUAGACAUGAAACAUCAAUCUCAUGCUGUAGGAAGAUCUCGUAAAUGAUUUAGCGAAUAUGGGAGGCCUGUAAGGCUAUCUCUCCAUCUUCACCUCCUUCUCUGUCCAAAGCUGCAUUAAAGAGUUUUGUUAGGAAGUUUGCGAUCUUUUUCCUAAAUCAUUUACGAGAUCUUCCUACAGCAUGAGAUUGAUGUUUCAUGUCUAUACAUCUCAAGACAGGUUGGAAAAAAGCAGAGAUGCUUUUUUGGAAAUGGUAGUCGGGCUUUAUACCUCCGAACAUCUGGUGUAGGCUCAUAGACCUUCUUCUCAAGUUUGAAGAGAUAGAGGAAGCAGAGAUCAUCUUCCAGAAGGCCAUUAUGAAUGGGGUGAGACCGACAGCUGCAAGGUAUAAUGCUAUUCAGAAGCACUAUACUAAGAGAGGAGGUAGGCAAUUUCGUUGAUCCGAAAAAUAGUUGUGAAGAUUCCAAAAAGUUGUGUAAAAAGACUACAUUCUGUAAAGGUUCCAAAAAGUUGUGUAAAAAGACUACAUUCUAAUAUUCUCU